rnacentral:misc_RNA from 1 species
AACGCACGAGACCUGCGGACCUGCGGAGGGAUCAUUAACAAGCCCGUGGAGAUCUCCUCCCAAAAGGAUGUGUGAUCUCUCACCCGGCCACCCUUGUUUAUCUUUAUCCUGUUGCUUUGGUGGGCCCGCCAUAAAGGCCGCUGGGGAACUUUUAGUUUUCGGGCGAGUGCUCACCAAAGUCCCAUUGAACUCUUUCUGAAGUUAUGUUGUCUGAGCAUGCAAAAACAAAUCUAGUUAAAA